AGCUUUGCGCAGUGGCAGUAUUGUAGCCAAUGAGGUUUAUCCGAGGCACGAUUAUUGCUAAUUGAAAACUUUUCCCCAUACUGUCAAAAAAGAUAAUAUCUUUUCUAUGUGUUUUCUUUCAAAUAAUAUUUUCCAUUUUUUCAAAGA